rnacentral:rRNA from 1 species
AUUGAACGCUGGCGGCAGGCCUAACACAUGCAAGUCGGACGGUAGCACAGAGGAGCUUGCUCCUCGGGUGACGAGUGGCGGACGGGUGAGUAAUGUCUGGGGAUCUGCCCGAUAGAGAGGGAUAACCACUGGAAACGGUGGCUAAUACCGCAUAACGUCGCAAGACCAAAGAGGGGGACCUUCGGGCCUCUCACUAUCGGAUGAACCCAGAUGGGAUUAGCUAGUAGGCGGGGUAACGGCCCACCUAGGCGACGAUCCCUAGCUGGUCUGAGAGGAUGACCAGCCACACUGGAACUGAGACACGGUCCAGACUCCUACGGGAGGCAGCAGUGGGGAAUAUUGCACAAUGGGCGCAAGCCUGAUGCAGCCAUGCCACGUGUAUGAAGAAGGCCUUCGGGUUGUAAAGUACUUUCAGCGGGGAGGAAGGCGGUGAGGUUAAUAACCUUGCCGAUUGACGUUACCCGCAGAAGAAGCACCGGCUAACUCCGUGCCAGCCGCCGCAGUAA